ensembl:snoRNA
ACAUGGGUUUGGAUUUAUGGCAGGCCCAGCCCCAUGGGCCUCUCUCCUCAUGUCCCAUGCCAGAGCAAACCAUAGCCCUAACCACUGCCUUGCCUCCUAGCCCCUAGGCUUCUGGCACUGAAGCGGGUUGCACAGUG